AAUCCCAAAAAUAAACGUCCCAGUUCGGACUGCAGUCUGCAACUCGACUGCACGAAGCUGGAAUCGCUAGUAAUCGCAGAUCAGAAUGCUGCGGUGAAUACGUUCCCGGGUCUUGUACACACCGCCCGUCACACCAUGGGAGUCAGUAACGCCCGAAGUCAGUGACCUAACCGCAAGGGAGGAGCUGCCGAAGGCGGGACCGAUAACUGGGGUGAAGUCGUAACAAGGUAUC
rnacentral:rRNA from 1 species